rnacentral:rRNA from 1 species
GAUGAACGCUAGCGGCAGGCUUAAUACAUGCAAGUCGAGGGGCAACAGGGGUAGCAAUACCUGCUGGCGACCGGCAAACGGGUGCGGAACACGUACAGAACCUUCCUUUAAGCGGGGGAUAGCCCAUAGAAAUGUGGAUUAAUACCCCAUAGCAAUAUUUGAUGGCAUCAUCGGGUAUUUAAAGAUUUAUCACUUAAAGAUGGCUGUGCGGCUGAUUAGGUAGUUGGUGUGGGAACGGCCCACCAAGCCAGCGAUCAGUAACUGGUGUGAGAGCACGACCAGUCACACGGGCACUGAGACACGGGCCCGACUCCUACGGGAGGCAGCAGUAAGGAAUAUUGGUCAAUGGACGCAAGUCUGAACCAGCCAUGCCGCGUGAAGGAUGAA